rnacentral:lncRNA from 1 species
AUGUUGUAAUUCUUACAUCUAACAUCAUUGAGGUUAGUUCACUCUUUAUUUAUGUCUCUCUCUUUAUCACACUAUGUUCUUGUUCUUGCUUAGAGAGGAACACAAGAAACGUUUUUGCUUUAAUCUUCUACAUUGUAUUAAUUGGAUUACAAGGAUAAUUCUUACAAGAUACAACACACACAUACUUAUACUACUUUACUUCUACUUUCUACAUACACAUACACACUUGCACUUGGACCUUACUCCUAGUUCUAGACUCUCUUACACAAGCAAGGUAGCCACCCUACACAUUGACAUUGGAACACUAGUUCCUUGAUUUACUCUCUCUUUUAGACUCUAACUAGGACUUAGUUUACUUUAGUUAUUACAACUCUUCUUGUUGGACCUUAACCAAACAACCACAAAACACUUAUUCGUAUGGGCCUUAUCAAAUCACCAAUGGCCCAACUCACAAAACACAAACCCAUUUGGUUUGAUGACUUUCCUUUCUUCCUUUGACUCUUCUCUUCACGAUGUCUUUUCUCUGACAUCGUCUUCUUCUUCCGAUGCUUCUUCCUCUGUUCUUCAUCUUCUUCUUCUCAUGGGUUCUUCUUCUCUUUUGCAAGUUCAAUCAAGGAUACAAUUCCAACAAAACACCAGAAAUUAACAAAUCCCCAAUUCCAAUUUAGGGAUUUGAAUCCCUUUGCUUCUUCUUCUUCUUCUUCUCUGGAAUCGCCUCUUCCCUGUGCGACUACAAUAUUUUCACCUUCUACCUUAGGUUUCACUACUUUUUUCUUCACUCUGAGUAUCUCAAAUUUUCCAUCAGGUUCAAGUUUUAGAAUCUCGAGAAAUGUUGAAAGUGGGAUGUAUUGUCCAAUCUUCUUUAGUUCUGAAAAGAGUUGAUCGGAUUCGUAUAGAAUCUCAACCUGCGUAGAUUUACGACAUCAUUAAAUCAUCAAAAGAACAUCUCUUUACUUCGUCAGAUCAACAUUACUUCCAAGAAACUAAAUUGAUCAAUUCUUAACUUACUUUAAUAGGAAGUUCCUCCAUUGAUGUUUGGAAAAAUCACAAGACUUCCUGCGCACGCAAACUGAAGAAUGUUGAAAUCAAGACUUCGAUCGCUCUCAAUCAAAGUGUUUUGAUGGAAGAAGAAGAAGAAGAAGAAGAAGAAGAAGAAGAAGAAGAUAAAUGAUCUCAUAUUCUCAUGAAUUGAGCUUAAGAACAGCAAACCUACCCUUUUUCUAUGCGUCUCGCAAGAUCGCACAAGAAAGAUCCUUCUCUCUCUGGAAGAUAAGUUCGACUACACACACUGGAUCACGAAGAUGAAGAGCACACUCGUAUUGGUAACCAAGAAACCUCUGUUUUAAUCGACAUUGAAGAACGACAUUUACAAACCUAAAGCGUGGAGUGCAAGAAACAAGAAUAUUUAUUGAAGAACACAAAUAUGUGUUUUAUUUUAACCUUCACGAAUUGAAUAAUCGAACUGUAUGCAAUGUGUAUGAAGAAGAUGAAAGAAGAAAUGUGAUUGUUUAGUUAUCUCUGUUAAUGGCGUAUAUAUCAAGAAGACGAGAUCAAAAAGAGAAAAAGAAGAACGAAGAAAGAUUACGACUACUUACUAUAACUGAACAUGUCUUUAGUCUAUAAUCGACGUCAACACGAGAACGCGUUUCAACUCUUCUUUUGUUUUUCUUUUUAUUGGGGAAAACUAAUAACAUUGUGUUUUUCACUAUGUGUUUUACAAGAAUUCAACGUGGAGCACUAAUUGCACCCAAGAAUGGAUUGUUUUUUUUGGUUUGUUAGCAUUAAGAUUCCAUUCUUUGUUGUUCCAUUAGAG